UACAUAGGGUGCAAGCGUUGUCCGGAAUUAUUGGGCGUAAAGAGCUCAUAAACAAUCUGUCGCAUCAACUGUGAAAACCCGGAACUCAACUCCGAGCCUACAGUCGAUACGGGCAGACUAGAGUUCGGCAAAAAAGACUGGAAUUCCUAGUGUAGCGGUGAAAUGCGCAGAUAUCAGGAGGAACACCAGUGGCGAAGGCAAGUCUCUGGGCCGAUACUGACGCUGAGGAGCGAAAGCAUGGGGAGCGAACAGG
rnacentral:rRNA from 1 species